rnacentral:rRNA from 1 species
GUACGGAAGGCAGCAGUGAGGAAUUUUGGACAAUGGGCGCAAGCCUGAUCCAGCCAUGCCGCGUGCGGGAAGAAGGCCUUCGGGUUGUAAACCGCUUUUGUCAGGGAAGAAAUCCUUUGGGCUAAUACCCCGGGGGGAUGACGGUACCUGAAGAAUAAGCACCGGCUAACUACGUGCCAGCAGCCGCGGUAAUACGUAGGGUGCAAGCGUUAAUCGGAAUUACUGGGCGUAAAGCGUGCGCAGGCGGUUUUGUAAGACAGAGGUGAAAUCCCCGGGCUUAACCUGGGAACUGCCUUUGUGACUGCAAGGCUUGAGUGCGGCAGAGGGGGAUGGAAUUCCGCGUGUAGCAGUGAAAUGCGUAGAUAUGCGGAGGAACACCGAUGGCGAAGGCAAUCCCCUGGGCCUGCACUGACGCUCAUGCACGAAAGCGUGGGGAGCAAACAGGAUUAGAUACCCGCGU